AUUGAACGCUGGCGGCAUGCCUUACACAUGCAAGUCGAACGGCAGCACGGGUGCUUGCACCUGGUGGCGAGUGGCGAACGGGUGAGUAAUACAUCGGAACGUACCUUAUCGUGGGGGAUAACGCAGCGAAAGCUGUGCUAAUACCGCAUACGCCCUGAGGGGGAAAGCGGGGGAUCGCAAGACCUCGCGCGAUUAGAGCGGCCGAUGCCUGAUUAGCUUGUUGGUGGGGUAAAAGCCCACCAAGGCGACGAUCAGUAGCUGGUCUGAGAGGACGAUCAGCCACACUGGGACGGAGACACGGACCAGACUCCUACGGGAGGCAGCAGUGGGGAAUUUUGGACAAUGGGGGCAACCCUGAUCCAGCAAUGCCGCGUGAGUGAAGAAGGCCUUCGGGUUGUAAAGCUCUUUUGUCAGGGAAGAAACACCGGCUCUAACACAGUCUGGGAAUGACGGUACCUGAAGAAUAAGCACCGGCUAGCUACGUGCCAGCAGCCGCCGUAA
rnacentral:rRNA from 1 species